GGAGAGAUGCCGGAGUGGUUGAACGGGGCGGUCUCGAAAACCGUUGUGGUCUUUUAUAGACCACCGAGGGUUCGAAUCCCUCUCUCUCCG
rnacentral:tRNA from 1 species